rnacentral:rRNA from 1 species
UCCCAGACUCCUACGGGAGGCAGCAGUGGGGAAUAUUGCACAAUGGGCGCAAGCCUGACCCAGCAACGCCGCGUGAAGGAAGAAGGCUUUCGGGUUGUAAACUUCUUUUAAGAGGGACGAAACAAAUGACGGUACCUCUUGAAUAAGCCACGGCUAACUACGUGCCAGCAGCCGCGGUAAUACGUAGGUGGCAAGCGUUAUCCGGAUUUAUUGGGUGUAAAGGGCGUGUAGGCGGGAAAGCAAGUCAGAUGUGAAAACUAUGGGCUCAACCCAUAGCCUGCAUUUGAAACUGUUUUUCUUGAGUGCUGGAGAGGCAAUCGGAAUUCCGUGUGUAGCGGUGAAAUGCGUAGAUAUACGGAGGAACACCAGUGGCGAAGGCGGAUUGCUGGACAGUAACUGACGCUGAGGCGCGAAAGCGUGGGGAGCAAACAGGAUUAGAUACCCUUGUAU